rnacentral:rRNA from 1 species
UACAGAGGGUGCAAGCGUUGCUCGGAUUUACUGGGCGUAAAGCGUGCGCAGACGGCAAGGCAGGUCGGGUGUGAAAGCCCCGGGCUCAACCCGGGAAUUGCAUUCGAAACCAUCUUGCUCGAGUGUGGAAGAGGGAAGCGGAAUUCCCGGUGUAGAGGUGAAAUUCGUAGAUAUCGGGAGGAACACCAGCGGCGAAGGCGGCUUCCUGGUCCAUUACUGACGUUCAGGCACGAAAGCGUGGGUAGCAAACAGG